rnacentral:miRNA from 1 species
UUACUUGUGUGCAUGUACUUGUGUAUGUAUAUACAUAUACACACAUACACACACACACACACACACACACACACACACACA